rnacentral:rRNA from 1 species
UACCUACCCUUGACAUGGUCGGAAUCCCGCUGAGAGGUGGGAGUGCUCGAAAGAGAACCGGCGCACAGGUGCUGCAUGGCUGUCGUCAGCUCGUGUCGUGAGAUGUUGGGUUAAGUCCCGCAACGAGCGCAACCCUUGUCCUUAGUUGCUACGCAAGAGCACUCUAAGGAGACUGCCGGUGACAAACCGGAGGAAGGUGGGGAUGACGUCAAGUCCUCAUGGCCCUUAUGGGUAGGGCUUCACACGUCAUACAAUGGUCGGAACAGAGGGUUGCCAACCCGCGAGGGGGAGCUAAUCCCAGAAAACCGAUCGUAGUCCGGAUUGCACUCUGCAACUCGAGUGCAUGAAGCUGGAAUCGCUAGUAAUCG